rnacentral:rRNA from 1 species
GACGAACGCUGGCGGCGUGCCUAACACAUGCAAGUCGAACGAAGCAUUUGGAGUUGAUCCCUUCGGGGUGACGCACCUUAUGACUUAGUGGCGGACGGGUGAGUAACACGUGAGCAACCUGCCUCUCAGAGUGGAAUAACAGUUGGAAACGGCUGCUAAUACCACAUAACGUUUUUGUGCCGCAUGACACUUCAACCAAAGAUUUAUCGCUGAGAGAUGGGCUCGCGUCCGAUUAGGUAGAUGGUGGGGUAACGGCCUACCAUGUCGACGAUCGGUGGCCGGACUGAGAGGUUGAUCGGCCACAUUGGGACUGAGACACGGCCCAGACUCCUACGGGAGGCAGCAGUGGGGGAUAUUGCACAAUGGGCGCAAGCCUGAUGCAGCAACGCCGCGUGCGGGAAGACGGCCUUCGGGUUGUAAACCGCUGUCCUUGGGGAAGAAACAAAUGACGGUACCCAAGAAGGAAGCCACGGCUAACUACGUGCCAGCCGCCGCCGUAAUAC